rnacentral:rRNA from 1 species
AUUGAACGCUGGCGGCAGGCCUAACACAUGCAAGUCGAACGAGUGGCGGACGGGUGAGUAAUGUCUGGGAAACUGCCUGAUGGAGGGGGAUAACUACUGGAAACGGUAGCUAAUACCGCAUUCCAUCGGAUGUGCCCAGAUGGGAUUGGCUUGUUGGUGGGGUAACGGCUCACCCAGGCGACGAUCCCUAGCGGGUCUGAGAGGAUGACCAGGCACACGGGAACUGGGAUACGACCCAGAGGACGACGGGGGGCAGUAGUGGGGAAGAUUGCACAAUGGGGGGAAGCCUAAUGGAGCGACGCGGAGGGUGGGAGGUCGGACUUCGGGGUGGAAACUCCUUACACCAACGACGCGGUAGAUGGAGAAGAAGCACCGGCUAACUACGUGCCAGCAGCCGCGGUAAUUC